AAACGACUCUCGGCAACGGAUAUCUCGGCUCACGCAUCGAUGAAGAACGUAGCAAAAUGCGAUACUUGGUGUGAAUUGCAGAAUCCCGUGAACCAUCGAGUUUUUGAACGCAAGUUGCGCCCGAAGCCUUUCGGUUGAGGGCACGUCUGCCUGGGCGUCACACA
rnacentral:rRNA from 1 species